rnacentral:rRNA from 1 species
GUGGGGAAUAUUGGACAAUGGGGGGAACCCUGAUCCAGCCAUGCCGCGUGUGUGAAGAAGGCCUUUUGGUUGUAAAGCACUUUAAGCGAGGAGGAGGCUACCGAGAUUAAUACUCUUGGAUAGUGGACGUUACUCGCAGAAUAAGCACCGGCUAACUCUGUGCCAGCAGCCGCGGUAAUACAGAGGGUGCAAGCGUUAAUCGGAUUUACUGGGCGUAAAGCGCGCGUAGGUGGCCAAUUAAGUCAAAUGUGAAGUCCCCGAGCUUAACUUGGGAAUUGCAUUCGAUACUGGUUGGCUAGAGUAUGGGAGAGGAUGGUAGAAUUCCAGGUGUAGCGGUGAAAUGCGUAGAGAUCUGGAGGAAUACCGAUGGCGAAGGCAGCCAUCUGGCCUAAUACUGACACUGAGGUGCGAAAGCAUGGGGAGCAAACAGGAUUAGAUACCCGAGUAGUCC